rnacentral:lncRNA from 1 species
CUCAACAAAUUUAAGUAUAUUCAAUUCAGCAAUUUCAUACUUAAAAUUUCAAACUUUAAAUAAAUACAUUUCAAUCUAAUCUUAAACUAUAAGCAACAAUUAAUGAACUUAAUGAACCUAAUGAAAUACAUUCCUUAAUGAACUUAGCCUGAUCUUAAACAACAAUUAAUCUAAAUAAGCAUUUUCAAAACUAUAACCAGUUUUACGAAUCCGGAUGUGGUCUGUACUCGGCUGCCGAUUCACGAAUCCUGCCUUAAACAACAAUUAAUCUAAAUAAGCAUUUUCAAAACUAUAAGCAGUUUCACGAAUUCAGGUGUGGUCUGUACUUGGCCGCCGAUUCACGAAUCAGGCCUUAAACAACAAUUAAUCUAAAUAAGCAUUUUCAAAACUAUAAGCAGUUUCCGCAUCUAAGACAAGUAUAUGCAUAGCAUGAAUUAAUACAAGCACACCAAAAGCUAACCCUACAGAAAUAAAAGCCUAUCUACAGAUUAAUAAAAAGAUCAUCACUUACCCAUCUAGCGUACUCUAAAAAUGGAAGUGGUUUCAAUCAGUUUCUCAAGAAACCCUAGCCCAAAAACAAAUAAAUAAAAGCAGAGAAAUGGAGAUUUAUUACCUUUUUGGAAAGUUGCUAGGAGUUGAGGGUUGACAAAGUUGCAGAGAAGAACAAGAAAAAUUAGAGAGAAAGAAGAGAAUAAUUAAAGAAAAAGAAGAACAAUAAUCGGAACAGGCGGACGGGUGGACGGCCUGACGCUGAUGGAAUGGAAUGGCUAUUAGUUUUAGUUUUAGACUACUACAGCUGUUAGAGACUUAGAGUUAGACUUUAGUUUUAGUUUUAUUGGGUGGGUAAUUGAGUAGACUUUAGUUUUAGUUUUAUUGGGUUGGGUUGGAUAAUUUUAUUUAUUAAUUUUUCGGUUAAAUCGAAAAAAUUCGGUUAACCGAUCAGUUUCGAACUGAAUUAACCGUUAACCGAAAAAUCAAAAAAAAUAACCAACCCCCGAUCGAAAAAAUUCAGUUAACCGAUCGAUUAACCAAAUUCGGUCAGUUAACCGAAUUUUUUCGAUUUUACCCAAAUUAUGCACACCCCUAGGUAGGCUUGACUUUAGGGACCUUCAUCUCUUUAAUUUGGCUCUCCUUGGCAGACAAUUGUGGAGGAUCAUCUCCUUUAAAGACACAUUAUGC